rnacentral:misc_RNA from 1 species
AAUAAUUUGAUAUUUUCCUUUUCGGAAUAAUAUUCUAAUUUACUGUGAACUGUAUUAUUACUUGAUGUUUGAGGGAUAUUCAACGGCCAUAAUGGGUAGGCUGCUGAAGUGUUAACCGAAUCAAGGUCAGGCUUAGGCCUGGUACCCUAUUAUUAUUUACCAAAAGAAUUCAGUAUAAAUAUUGUAACAUAGACGUAAAAAAUCUAUAAAAA